UAAUACCGGAUAAGUCUUUACGGAGAAAGCUUUAUGCACCAUUGGAUGAGCCUGCACUUGAUUAGUUUGUUGGUGGGGUAAUGGCCCACCAAGACUGUGAUCAAUAGCUGAUUUGAGAGGAUGAUCACCCACAUUGGGACUGAGACACGGCCCAAACUCCUACGGGAGGCAGCAGUGGGGAAUCUUGCACAAUGGAGGAAACUCUGAUGCAGCGAUGCCGCGUGAGUGAAGAAGGCCUUUGGGUUGUAAAGCUCUUUCGUCGGGGAAGAAAAUGACUGUACCCGAAUAAGAAGGUCCGGCUAACUUCGUGCCAGCAGCCGCGGUAAUACGAAGGGACCUAGCGUAGUUCGGAAUUACUGGGCUUAAAGAGUUCGUAGGUGGUUGAAAAAGUUGGCGGUGAAAUCCCAGAGCUUAACUCUGGAACUGCCAUCAAAACUUUUCAGCUAGAGUAUGAUAGAGGAAAGCAGAAUUUCUAGUGUAGAGGUGAAAUUCGUAGAUAUUAGAAAGAAUACCAAUUGCGAAGGCAGCUUUCUGGAUCAUUACUGACACUGAGGAACGAAAGCAUGGGUAGCGAAGAGGAUUAGAUACCCUCGUAGUCCAUGCCGUAAACGAUGUGUGUUAGACGUUGGAAAUUUAUUUUCCAGUGUCGCAGCGAAAGCGAUAAC
rnacentral:rRNA from 1 species